GCUACACAUCCCACGCUACAAACAACGCACCACGCCCACUUCACAUCGCGGAUUGGUCUUUCCCGGCCACCGUCACGCGCAUGCUCCCUGAGGGCACUAGGGUUUGGAGAGGCCCUGCUGGUGGCAUACUUCCGGCGUUGCACUUCCGGCCUGUUGGUGGCCGCGUUUGCCGAAACCCUGUAUCCUGACACCCCGGUGGCGCCUGGUCGUUGCCUUCUUGGGCCUGGCGGUUGCCGAGGGAUUUGAGGGGCGGGAAUCGCGGAGACGCGUUUGGAUCCUCUAGGUGGGAAGCAGGCUCUUCCGAUCGCGGCCUCAGGGGCGCCGAAGGCUCACACCCCUAGCCAUGGACUGCAGUCUGGACAGGAUGGCUUCGGUGGUCCCCGGGCAAUUUGACGACGCGGAUUCCUCAGACAGUGAAAACAAAGAACUGCAGCCAAUCCAUGCAGAAGAUGGCGGCGUUCUACUUAAAAGCCUCCAGAAUGCUGCAGCAGAGGUGAAGGGCGACGCUGAGACCGAUGAGGAAGACGACUAUGAUGAUGAUGAUGAUUGGUACUUGGACGAUGCAACUGGAAAACUCACCAAGGGUUGUACCUGGAAUGGCGGCAGUAACUAUCAGGCAAACCGACAGACUUCUAACUACAAUUCAGCCAAAAUGUCUACUCCAAUUGACAAGUCCUUGCGAAAAUUUGAAAAUAAAAUCAAUCUAAAUAAGCUGAAUGUUACUGAUUCUGUGACAAAUAAAGUCACCGUAAAAUUGAGACAAAAGGAAGCAGAAUCGUAUCGAAUUAAAGAUAAGGCCGACAGAGCAACCGUAGAACAGGUUUUGGAUCCCAGAACAAGGAUGAUUUUAUUCAAGUUGUUGCAUAAAGACCACAUAUCAGAGAUACAUGGCUGUAUUAGCACUGGAAAAGAAGCUAAUGUAUACUAUGCUAGCACACCCAGUGGAGAGAGCAGAGCAAUCAAAAUAUACAAAACUUCUAUUUUGAUGUUCAAAGAUCGUGAUAAGUAUGUGACUGGGGAAUUCAGGUUCCGGCGUGGCUAUUGUAAAGGAAACCCUAGGAAAAUGGUGAGGACGUGGGCAGAGAAGGAGAUGAGGAAUUUGUGCAGGCUAAAAACAGCAAACAUACCAUGUCCAGAACCAAUCAGGCUAAGAAGUCAUGUUCUUCUCAUGGGCUUCAUUGGCAAGGAUGACAUGCCAGCCCCACUUUUGAAAAAUGUCCAGCUGUCAGAGUCCAAGGCACGGGAGUUGUACCUGCAGGUCAUUCAGUACAUGAGGAAAAUGUAUCAGGACGCUAGACUUGUCCACGCGGAUCUCAGUGAAUUCAACAUGCUGUACCAUGGUGGAGAUGUUUACAUCAUUGAUGUUUCUCAGUCUGUGGAGCAUGACCACCCACAUGCAUUGGAGUUCUUGAGAAAAGACUGUACCAAUGUCAAUGAUUUCUUUUCCAAGCAUGCUGUUGCAGUGAUGACCGUGCGGGAGCUCUUCGACUUCGUCACAGAUCCCUCCAUCACUGCUGACAACAUGGAUGCUUACCUGGAAAAGGCUAUGGAAAUAGCAUCCCAGAGGACCAAGGAAGAAAAGACUAGCCAAGAUCAUGUGGAUGAAGAGGUGUUCAAACAAGCAUAUAUUCCCAGAACCUUAAACGAAGUAAAGAAUUAUGAGAGAGAUGUGGACAUCAUGAUGAGGUUAAAGGAAGAAGACAUGGCUUUGAACACUCAGCAAGACAACAUUCUAUACCAGACUGUCAUGGGAUUGAAAAAAGAUUUGUCAGGAGUCCAGAAGGAGUGAAUGGAUGCUACCCAUCUUUCUCCCGCGUGUUGAUUCUAUUUUGAUGUUUCAGUGCAUAACUUGAAAGAGUAUCUGACAUACUGAUGUAAGAUGCUGGCAUUAAUGUGUUGAUAGUACCUGGCUUCACGUAGCAUUGUUCUAUAAUAAUCUCAAGGUCCCCGCGCUCCUAGAAAGUGAAGUUAAGGAAGAGACUUGUUUUGGUUCAGACGAUGCUGGGGGCUCUGAGUGCUCCGACACAGUCUCUGAAGAGCAGGAAGAUCAAGCCGGAUGCAGAAACCAUAUUGCUGACCCUGACAUUGAUAAAAAGGAAAGAAAAAAGAUGGUCAAGGAAGCCCAGAGAGAGAAGAGAAAAAAUAAAAUCCCUAAACAUGUGAAAAAAAGAAAGGAAAAAACAGCCAAGGCCAAAAAAGGCAAAUAGAAUGGAGCCAUUCCUCGGCUACAUUUUAACCCUGAAACAGAAGUAGCUGGAGGAGGCUUCCUCACUGUCUCACUGUCAGAGGAGGCUGGGGUGUGGUCAUGUGAUUGUUUCAAAAGCCUAUUCUUUCGGGAUCCAGUCCUGGCUCUGCUUUUAACGGACUUAUUAAGGUAUUAUUUUAAUGAAGAACUUUGUAUAUUUUAUUUUUAUAUUUUUAUCUUGCAAACAUUUUCCCACAAGUAUCAGAACAUGAGUGUUUAUGAUGAACAUCCACGGACGAACUUGGGAACAUUUGUUUUCUUUGUCUAUGCCAAAGACAUAUCUGAAACAGCCUGGAGCUCCGCUCCGAGAGACAUCGUCUGGCCGUUAUGUGCCAUUCCCAGGAGCCCUGUUCCUGUGUGUUCUGGAUACACAGGAAGCUGUCCUAUGAUCCUGCUUCAUCUUAACUAUACCUUUCCAGUGAGCCCUCCCAGCUCAGGUGCCAUUUCACACCCAGCCAUUUGUUCAUCAGAUAUUUCAGUGUUCUAGGAACUGGGAUAUAGCUAUGAAUAAAACCACAUUACUUCCUUUG